rnacentral:rRNA from 1 species
AAAAUUCAAGUUGCAAGGAAAUUCUCGUACUCUGAGCUAGUAGUGGCGACGGAUAACUUCUCCAAGGAUAGGAAAAUCGGCAAGGGAUCCUUUGGCGAUGUGUACAGAGGGCGGCUAACAAUGCCGGACCUACGGGCGGUGGCGGUGAAGGAGAUGCGCCAGCCGACGUCAAGGAGGAACCAGAAGAACUAUGUGCACGAGAUCGAGACCUUGUGCCAGUUGCGCCACAAGAACCUCUUGUCACUAAUCGGUUGGUGCGACGACAAUGGUCGGCUGUUGCUUGUCUAUGAGCUCGAACCCAACGGUAGCCUCAGCGACCAUCUCCACGGCAGCGAUGACAGUGGGGGGACAUUGACAUGGCCACAGAGGUACAAUAUCCUUCUCGGCGUCGCAACCGCCAUCGACUACCUCCACAAUGGCGCCUACGACUCAGCCAGGAGGUACGUGCUACACCGGGACAUCAAGCCUAGCAACGUCAUGCUAGGAGAGGGCUUCGAGGCCAAGCUCGGUGACUUUGGGCUCGUGCGGCAAGUCAGCUGCCACGAUGGCGUAUGUACUCCUUGUACCACCGUGAUUGGGAGCAUGGACUACAUGGACCCCGUGUACAUUGAGACCGGCACACUGAGCCCAGCCUCUGAUAUAUAUAGCUUUGGGUUGGUUCUGCUGGAGGUAGCCACUAGCGUGAGACCAGUCGUCCCGGGAAGGGCAUCGCACCGAAACAACCUCAUCGCCGCCAUCAGGGAGUCUUAUAGCAGGAACGCCAUCCUUGAGAUGCUAGAUGAGCGGAUGAGAGGGGAGUUGGAGCAGUGGCGGUGGCAGAUGGAGCGUGUCUUGGUAACCGGGCUGAUGUGUGUCGAGCAAGAGCGUGACAAGAGGCCAUCCAUCAAAGAUGUCAUCAACUUGCUCUCCAAGCAUGAACAAUCUCUGACAUCUGUUUGGGACAUGAAAGAUUCUUCAAUGAGGACGAAGGAUCGAUUUCGUUCCAUACUAGCUAGCAAGGUUGGCUUUGCAAAUGCAAGGGCAUCAUCUUUAGCGUAUUGA